GGCGGCGUGCCUAACACAUGCAAGUCGAACGAGAAAGUGGAGCAAUCCAUGAGUAAAGUGGCGACCGGGUGAGUAACACGUGACUAACCUACCCUCGAGUGUGGAAUAACAUCGGGAAACCGAUGCUAAUACCGCAUAACGUCGCAAGAUCAAAGCAGCAAUGCGCUUGAGGAGGGGGUCGCGGCUGAUUAGCUAGUUGGCGGGGUAACGGCCCACCAAGGCGAAGAUCGGUAGCCGGCCUGAGAGGGCGCACGGCCACACUGGAACUGAAACACGGUCCAGACUCCUACGGGAGGCAGCAGUGGGGAAUUUUGCGCAAUGGGGGAAACCCUGACNCAGCAACGCCGCGUGGAGGAUGAAGCCCCUUGGGGCGUAAACUCCUUUCGACCAAGACCAUGAUGACGGUACUGGUGGAAGAAGCACCGGCUAACUCUGUGCCAGCANCCGCGGUAAUACAGAGGGUGCAAGCGUUGUUCGGAAUUAUUGG
rnacentral:rRNA from 1 species